rnacentral:rRNA from 1 species
AUUGAACGCUGGCGGCAUGCUUUACACAUGCAAGUCGAACGGCAGCGCGGGCUUCGGCCUGGCGGCGAGUGGCGAACGGGUGAGUAAUACAUCGGAACGUGCCCAGUAGUGGGGGAUAGCUCGGCGAAAGCCGGAUUAAUACCCCAUACGACCUGAGGGUGAAAGCGGGGGAUCUUCGGACCUCGCGCUAUUGGAGCGGCCGAUGGCAGAUUAGCUAGUUGGUGGGGUAAAGGCCUACCAAGGCGACGAUCUGUAGCUGGUCUGAGAGGACGACCAGCCACACUGGGACUGAGACACGGCCCAGACUCCUACGGGAGGCAGCAGUGGGGAAUUUUGGACAAUGGGCGAAAGCCUGAUCCAGCAAUGCCGCGUGUGUGAUGAAGGCCUUCGGGUUGUAAAGCACUUUUGGCGGGAACGAAAAGGACUGUGCCAAUACCACGGUUCGAUGACGGUACCCGCAGAAUAAGCACCGGCUAACUACGUG